rnacentral:tRNA from 1 species
GGGCCCGUAGCUCAGUCUGGCAGAGCACUUGGCUUUUAACCAAGGUGUCCUGGGUUCGAAUCCCAGCGGGCUCG